UCACGGUGAAAAUCCAUAUAAAAUUUAACAAAAUUGCUGAAAUGUUUUCAUUUCACCAUAACUUGUUUUUUCAACUAUUGGAAAUUUGACAUUUAGCGACUCUCAAGGAAAGCACAAUCACAGUCGCUUUUAAACACACGAAAAAACGCGAUCGCUGAGGACCUCAUUGUAACUCAACGUUGCCGUCGCCCUCCAUCUUUUUUACCGAUUCGUGUUGUUUUCAAUUACUGUUCAAAUUAAUUGAUAGUAUAUAUAAAAAAUGGAAAACAAAUUGAAACUAACGACAAAAUUAAAACAAGAAAUAUGUAAGGCUGUGAAAAAAAUUAAAUUAUUUGGAAUAAAACAGAAAAAGGGCAUUCAAACAGAAAUGCUGUCAAGCGAGCUUGGGAGUUAGUCACAAAUGAUGUAGGACUAGGUGAAAAACUGUGCCGCAAAGGAUGGAAGAGCGUAUUGGACAGCGAACGCUACAGUCAAAAAAUCUACAAAAUCGGGUAGAUCUUGUGAAUUGGAGUUUGAGACCGAAUUUUUAGAAAGCUCCUGCGAACCGUGGGAUCUUGAAGAAGAUAUACAUACAAUUUUUAGAGGAUACCGUGACAAAAAGAAUAACGGAUACAAUUGAUGUUUUAGAAAGCUCAGAGGGUAAUGAUAUCAUCGAAGUUGAUAUUGAACCUAUCGAGACCCCAAAUACAUCUUAUUCCUAUAAUCAUUCAAGUACUUCAGCCUCAACAUCCAGGGCAAGAUAUUACAGAGAUAUGGUUUCUACCGGCAAUAAUCUUGCUCAAAGCAUCGAGCGGCUUGUGGGAAUGGUGGAGCAGCAAACAAGCCCCCGUGCAAGAUUUUUGGAUUGAGCUCUCCCCUGAAUUAAAAUAUUCACCCCUAUCGGGAAAAAUAUGUGGAAUUUUUAUUCCCAUGAGAUCCGAAUUCCCCUCGAAAGGGAUUUCAUAAUCGUUAAACUCACGCGAAAUGUUUGUUCCCUUCUUUAAUCAGCUGUUACAAAUUUUUUACAAGGCUAUCAGUGCAUACUGAAUGAAAGUAAAAUACAAAAAACAUUGGCAUUGAAUUAAAAAGAGAAAAUUUUGAGAAUCGGAGCAAUAUUGUUGCUUCAGGAGGAAGAAACUGAGAAGCAUCGUAUCAUUCGCAGACGUGUGCGAGAUGCAUCUAACCCCUUGGCAUUACCCCAUACAUUGUAAGUUACCUAAAUGCAUUAAAAAGUGUUAUGUUGUGGAUUCACCCAGCACUAUAGAUUAAGUAAAGAUGCUUUUAAGUAUAUUCUGGAGGAGCUCGAGGAAAAUCUGCCGCCAUCAAAAACAUCGUCCGGAAUUCCAACAAUUUUAAAAUUAUGUGCCAUUACUAUUCAAUUCCUCAGCAAGACUAUUCCAAAAUUUUGUCAUUACGUUCUUUGAAACAUUGACAAAGCCAUACGCAAUUGUUCUGUUAUUUUGCAUUUUGUUGAGCAAAAUCUCGUGUCGAUUUUUGUUCACACUUCGGCUCCCAAAAAUUUCAAAUAAGGCAUUAUUGUUUUAAUAAAACCACACGAAUACUUACAUGUUUAAAGCAACUCCCCAGCAAAAACGAUGUGAACAAAUUUAUGGGAAAAAUUAAAUACUUUUUGGGAAAUCCCAAGUUUACGGUAAGGGGAUUUUUUGUUUGAUGUGAAUGGGUUAUCAUUCCCCUUUCAAUUAUCACAAAAAGGGAAAACAUUUCAUGGGAAAAUUUGUUAACGGUUGCAAAUUUGCGAAAUCGGAAAAUAUUUCGAGGGAAAAAACUUUUACGAUAGGGGUGAUUACGUUUCUUCAAAUUCUCAGAUUUUUUUUUGAGCGUGUAUUAAGUUGUUUUGAAGAGAAACAAGUAGUAGUAACUAUAUUACUUGUUCAAAUAUUAAG
rnacentral:sRNA from 1 species